rnacentral:rRNA from 1 species
GAUGAACGCUGGCGGCGUGCCUAAUACAUGCAAGUCGAGCGAACAGACGAGGAGCUUGCUCCUCUGACGUUAGCGGCGGACGGGUGAGUAACACUUGGAUAACCUACCUAUAAGACUGGGAUAACUUUGGGAAACCGGAGCUAAUACCGGAUAAUAUAUUUAACCGCAUGGUUCAAUAGUUAAAGACGGUUUUGCUGUCACUUAUAGAUGGAUCCGCGCCGCAUUAGCUAGUUGGUAAGGUAACGGCUUACCAAGGCGACGAUGCGUAGCCGACCUGAGAGGGUGAUCGGCCACACUGGAACUGAGACACGGUCCAGACUCCUACGGGAGGCAGCAGUAGGGAAUCUUCCGCAAAGGGCGAAAGCCUGACGGAGCAACGCCGCGUGAGUGAUGAAGGUCUUCGGAUCGUAAAACUCUGUUAUUAGGGAAGAACAAAUGUGUAAGUAACUAUGCACGUCUUGACGGUACCUAAUCAGAAAGCCACGGCUAACUACGUG